GAACCUUCACUCCUUUGUAGUUUGUAUACCUAAACUCAUAUCACAUACACGCACUCUCUCUCUCUCUCUCUCUCUCUGAUAUGGUGCUACCCUCUCCAGCAAAGAGCAACGGUAGUUCCAGCGGUGGCCACCCAUGACUCCUCCUCCAGAUUCGUAUCACCACCGACAGUAGUUGCCCUCUCUCGCUCUGUCAAUAUCUUUUGAAACUAGAAUACCCAUAUGGAGACUUGUCCCAAAAGUCUCUCAAUUUGCCAUAUCUUUAUCGAACCACAGUCCCACUCUGUUCUUCUGGUUUAUCAAAGCGUUUUGGUAGGGUAUUUGGUGCCGGGCAAUGGCUAUGGUUAAGAAUGAAAGACUGCUCCGGCGCCAUCGACCACUUCAGGCAAGUGAUGUCCUUGCUGUGGAGCUUUUGCAAAAAGAUGCACGACUUGCCGUUAGUGGAGAGAUAGGAAAGCCAUGUCCUGGUGGAACCUAAGUAUGCUCUAUGUUGAUACUACUAGAUUAAAUAAUGGUCCUUCUUUAGUUACAUUCUUCCUCGAUGGUAACCUUUUUGUUUCACCAUCUGAUAUUUGCAGUUCGUUUAUUCAUUGGAUUUUUUCUUUAGAUUUAUAGAAAAUGAUGGUAAUUUUCACAAUACUGUCAUUUUGUUAAUUCGUUUGCACAUCAAAUGUAGCUGUAGUUGUUAAGCACCUUUAUGAUCCAUCUUGAUUCUCCAUUGCAUAGAAAAUAGAUAGGCUUGGUAUUAAAAGGUGGUUUCUUCUCCAAUUAAAUUUAUGUUACUUGCUAUGGAUCACCUCAUACUUAUGUAGUCCAUGGUUACUUAGCAUCUUCGACUUUUAUGGGUAAGAUAUUAAAGUAGGAAGGGGAAGACUGAAAUUUUCUUUUCUUAAAUCGGGAAUUAAAUUGAAGCCUGUAAGUUUUUCAUUACUGAUGUUAAAAUUGUAAUUACACUAUAUACAAAACAGAGUUUUCAUAUAUCUUGGAACAGGCUGCGUGUGGUUCCUUUAUUUGAAACUGUGAAGGACUUGAGAGGAGCUGGCUCAGUGAUCAGGAAAUUAUUGUCCAUUGAUUUGAGUCUGAGAAUUUGACUUCUUUGGAGCUAUAGGUUUUACACCUAGAAAACUAUGUCUAAUGGGUUUUUCCCCGUUCUCUUUUUACAAUCUUCCAUUGAAAAGAGUUCAGAAUUUGUUAUCUGCAGAGUGCUUUUAGUGAUUGCAAUACUAAAAGUAGAAGGAUAGUGUAGAGUAUACUACCUCUCUAAGUCUCUCAACUCCUUUUGCGCUUGUAUUAGACUAUUGUAGAUUGCAUUAUUAACAUUUAGGUCUGGGGCAUGGAAACUUUGACGCAUGUCCAAGAACCAAAAAUAAUAUAUCUUCUUAGCUCAAUGAAAAGGAAAUUUGAGCAAGAGGCCGUGGAAAAUUUGAAAUCCCUGGUUCGAACAAAAAAUUAAUCAAUUGUACUUGUACCUCUCCUGUCUUAAUAUGUUUAGAUACUAAAUGGUAGCGAUGUAAUUCACUGAACUAUGUAUGGAUAACCAUCGACAGUGACUGAAUUUUGUUAUCUUGUUCUUUUUUUCUUUUUCCUUCUUGAAUUCCGUCAAGUUAUACUCAAAUCUGGGUACUGCUUUUAGGAGGUCUUGUGUCAGCUGGUAUAUUGGAUGUGUGGGUAAGUAAUGUAAAUGGUGGACUGGCUCUUGUACAGAUAUUUGGAUGGAUUUCAAUGAUGAAAUGGUGUCCAUUUAAUGCAGGACAUGAUUUCCCAACAGUCUUUUACCUUGCUCUGGGUGGAUCAUUGCUAUCAUACAUUUACUCUGCUCCACCUCUAAAUCUUAAAAAAAAAAGUCAUCUACUGUUAAAGCCCAGACAUUAGAUACUUAUUAGUAGAUACACACGAGCAUUGCAGAACCUUCAAAGGUACCAGAAAAAGGGCAGCUUUUGUCUUUAUUAUUGCAUUUCGGUUGCUGGAUCUUGGCAAUAAUACAGUGCAGGUAACGAAUGCAUCAAAGAGGUCAAGAUCCAAUCUAAACGACCUUCAUAACCUGUGGAAGCAUCUCAUCUUCUCAUCAACUUAGAAGGAAGAGCUGAAAUUAUAGAAUUCACUUGCUUCUUCAAAUCCUGCUGAUGAAAGGACUGCACCUAUAUAUAUAUAUAUUAAUUAUGCUGGUAAAUAGUUUCUCUCUCUCUCUACUCUAAAGUUCAAAAUUUGAGUUUAGUUGUUUUGGGGAGAGAAUGUAAUACAAUGUUUUGGAAUUUGUUGAUGUAUUGUUGGAAAUUUGAGUUUAAUGAAAAAGAUAUAGCAGGAUUGUGUGAUUA